UGCUAAGAGAACCAGCCUUACCAAGCCUUCUGGGCCCCCAAGGACAAUCAGUACCCCCAACUGGUCAUCCAGUGAGGGCCAGUCCAGUUCGCUCAGCAGGUGGCAGACCAGGCUGGGAACUAAGUUCAAAUCGAGGACGCCCGCACAGUGAACGUACCCAAAGGACUCAGGCCCCAACACUACCAGCGUCAACACCAGUCUUUGCGCCUGUGCCUCCACCUCCCUUGUAUCCUCCACCGCCCCAUGCACUUCCUCUU